GACUACUGGGGUAUCUAAGCCUGUUUGCUCCCCCAGCUUUCGUGCCUCAGCGUCAGUUUCAUUCCAGAGAGCCGCCUUCGCCACUGGUGUUCUUCUUGAUCUCAACGCAUUUCACCGCUACACCAAGAAUUCCGCUCUCCUCUCCUGUACUCGAGUCUCGCAGUUUCGAAUGCACUUUGGAGGGUGAGCCUCCAGAUUUCACAUCCGACACGCGGAACCGCCUACGCACCCUUUACGCCCAGUAAAUCCGAACAACGCUCGCCACCUCUGUAUUACCGCGGCUGCUGGCACAGAGUUAGCCGUGGCUUCCUCUUUCGGUACUCUCCCUCCAGUCGGAGUAUUAAUCCGCCUGGCAUUGUUCCCGAAUCACAGGAGUUUACGACCCGAAGGCCUUCAUCCUCCACGCAGCGUCGCAUCGUCACGCUUUCGCGCAUUGCGAAUGAUCCUCGACUGCAGCCCCCCGUAGG
rnacentral:rRNA from 1 species